UACGGAGGGUGCGAGCGUUGUCCGGAAUCACUGGGCGUAAAGGGCGCGUAGGCGGCCCGCUAAGUCGAACGUGAAAUCCCCGGGCUCAACCCGGGAACUGCGUCCGAUACUGGCAGGCUUGAAUCCGGGAGAGGGAUGCGGAAUUCCAGGUGUAGCGGUGAAAUGCGUAGAUAUCUGGAGGAACACCGGUGGCGAAGGCGGCAUCCUGGACCGGCAUUGACGCUGAGGCGCGAAAGCCAGGGGAGCAAACGGG
rnacentral:rRNA from 1 species